rnacentral:rRNA from 1 species
UACGAAGGGGGCUAGCGUUGUUCGGAAUCCCUGGGCGUAAAGCGCACGCAGGCGGAUCGUUAAGUCGGGGGUGAAAUCCCGAGGCUCAACCUCGGAACUGCCUUCGAUACUGGCGAUCUUUGAGUCCGGGAGAGGUGAGUGGAACUCCGAGUGUAGAGGUGAAAUUCGUAGAUAUUCGGAAGAACACCAGUGGCGAAGGCGGCUCACUGGCCCGGUACUGACGCUCAGGUGCGAAAGCGUGGGGAGCAAACAGG